rnacentral:rRNA from 1 species
ACAGCAGUCGCCGCGGUAAUACGUAGGUGGCAAGCGUUGUCCGGAAUUAUUGGGCGUAAAGGGCUCGCAGGCGGUUUCUUAAGUCUGAUGUGAAAGCCCCUGGCUCAACCGGGGAGGGUCAUUGGAAACUGGGAAACUUGAGUGCAGAAGAGGAGAGUGGAAUUCCACGUGUGGCGGUGAAAUGCGUAGAGAUGUGGAGGAACACCAGUGGCGAAGGCGACUCUCUGGUCUGUAACUGACGCUGAGGAGCGAAAGCGUGGGGAGCGAACAGGAUUAGAUACCCCAGUAGUCCCUGUCUCUUAUAC